UACAGAGGUCUCAAGCGUUGUUCGGAUUCAUUGGGCGUAAAGGGCGCGUAGGCGGCGAGGUAAGUCGGGUGUGAAAUCUCAGAGCUCAACUCUGAAACUGCACUCGAUACUGCUUUGCUAGAGGACUGGAGAGGAGAUUGGAAUUCACGGUGUAGCAGUGAAAUGCGUAGAGAUCGUGAGGAAGACCAGUGGCGAAAGGCGGAUCUCUGGACAGUUCCUGACGCUGAGGCACGAAGGUCAGGGGAGCAAACGGG
rnacentral:rRNA from 1 species